rnacentral:rRNA from 1 species
UACGGAGGGGGCUAGCGUUGUUCGGAAUUACUGGGCGUAAAGCGCGCGUAGGCGGCUUUGUAAGUUAGAGGUGAAAGCCCGGAGCUCAACUCCGGAAUAGCCUUUAAGACUGCAUCGCUAGAACGUUGGAGAGGUAAGUGGAAUUCCGAGUGUAGAGGUGAAAUUCGUAGAUAUUCGGAAGAAACACCAGUGGCGAAGGCGACUUACUGGACAACUGUUGACGCUGAGGUGGCGAAAAGCGUGGGGAGCAACAGG